rnacentral:lncRNA from 1 species
UCAGUAUACUCGUAAAAAAACAUACUUAUUUCAUUUACAAGUCAUCCUGCUAACAUUUUGCUUAUUUUUUACUGUUUAUCCUAGACGCGUGAACCACAACUUAGUUCCCAAACAGUGCUGGUUUUAGGCCACUUCUCCGAACUAAUCCACGCUUUCCCAGAAAUUCACGACAUAUUAGUACAGCUCCCAAACCAUGCCAGCGCAGACCGUCUUCAUCAUCAUCAAACAAUUCUGCUCGAAACAAACGAUAGGCGUGUUAUUGCAUUUCACUAAGGGAGCUAUUUUUUGCUGCUUAACAUUCCCGCGUAACCAAACAAUGUUAACUGGCCAUUAUUUUCAUUUGAAAACUCCUUAAAUAUAUAAAUAAACAAGACAAAGAUGGUCUGAGAAUGUUCCAGUUCAGUAUCAGAGCGUGAAUGGGCCAAAUUCGUCCCUGAAAAAAUGAAGAUACAAAUGAGCAGCAUCUCGGUGGUGCUUCGGAUGAUGUUCAUCCUCCUGCGACCACAUGGUAUAUAAGAUCCAGCAUCAAAGAAUCGAGCGAGGGGGCAGCACUGGCGAUCUUAUAAAAUCAUGGCCGCUUUAAGAUGUAAUCAAAAAGAGAUGGGAAUAUAUGUCUGCAUGCCUGUCUGCGUCUGUCUAGCAGCAGAUUUUAUUGACGUAACGUAGAAGAAGAAACGGAGAAUCAUUGUUGUUUUUGGUUUUAGGGCCAUCGCCAUGACUUCUACAGAACAAGCUCAUUCUCAUUUAUGCAUAUGCUAGAUCCAAUUGAAAUUACGUCGCCUUUAGUAACCGAAGCGUUAAAUAUCAUGUUUAUUUUGAUAUUUCUGAAAUCGUAAAAACCUGAACCCUUUUUAAUAACACAGAUAUCCGUUUUCAAAUAAGGCUCAUCAAUUACCUUAAUUAAAGCCGCAUCGUAUCGAUGCCUCGAUACAUUCAAAAUAUUAAAUUUCUGUAAUUUAUUACUAUUCUUAUGAUAUUGCCUUUUAUUAACAAUUUAAAGACAGCCAUGGAAAGAGUUUAUUUCGAGUCGAAGAUUUAUGGCAAUGUCUGCAUAAUUUACGUCGCAAGAUGAAUACGUAAUAAGCCGUUUUAUCUAGGGAACCAUCGAAUUCUCAGACGUUGAAGGGAUAUUAUUCAAUUUUAUUAGUUUCGAAUUUAUUUCGAUAUGCACUUCAUCCUCAGUUUCCGUAGUCAGUAUUCACGUCUAAAUAACUGUUACAUGCAAAAAAUUACCAAAUUAAAUUCACAAGUGUAAUUUAGUUUGUUCCAAGCUUUUCGGCAGUGACGUAAUAAUUGUUAAUUGUUGUGCUACACGACAAUUUGUCUUUAAUCAAAUUGUUAAAUUCACAGCAACAAACCCAAUAAAAUUAAAUCUAAGUUGUAGAUCAAAAGGUUCCUUAGCCUAUUAGUAGGAGACACCAAUGCGCGCGUAAGACAGUAACGUAAAUAUUUCGGUAUAAAAUCGGGCAUUUCGCACAAUUGGUAUGGUGUGACUUAAAAUCCAAACGUUUGAUUUAUUGUAAUUCUUUAUCUUGUGAAUCUCCAUUUCGUAUAUUGAUUCUUCCUAACCAUUAACAGUUAGUGUUGACAUGUUUAUUGCGAGAACAGUUUUCCAGUACCUAAACGAGAUAUUGAAUCGGUAGGCGCCGUAAAUUAAACAUUGUAGAAAGCUUUCAAGCGGCCAAUAAAAAUUGACGAGCAUGCAUGUAAAGCAAGACACUAUGGAAACCCUGUACAUAAAUUAUGAGGGACUUUCAUGUUACAAUUUCCAUUGCGAUGAUAUAUUUUGUACGAUGACCAUAUGAUAAACCCCGCUUACUUACAGCCGUUGCGUGUUCAUAAUACAUGUACAGCAAUUUGUUUUGGCUUUAUUCUAGUUAGGGAUAUUUUCACUUUUUUUAACUUUUGCUCAAAAACUUUUUAUGAAGAGGCAACUUUUUCAGGAGUAACGUUUCAAUAAACUCUCAAACGAACGCUUCAGUUGCUUCAAGAAAGUCGCUUAUAAAACUUGUGCACGUUUUAUUACACGCAUUUUUCGCUUGAAAUUACAGGUGAUCGUUUAAAAGCUUCAGAGAAUUCCAUGCGGACCACCGUAUUUUGUCUAAGACUGUACACCUCCCAAAAAACUAAAGGGUUAAGAUACCAACUAUAAAAAGUCAAGUCCAUCUGAAAGAUAGUGACCUGCUUGUUUACUACUGAGAAGCUGUGAAAAUGAAAUGACGCGAUGCAUCCUUCGAGCAUAACAAAGAGAGAGCAACCAAUGAAAAAUAAACAGAUGAAAUAGAAAACUCCGCUGGCAAAAAAGUUGCCGAUUUACUUCAAAGUCCCAACUGCUCACAAGCGGAAAUAGAGGAUGGCAAAAAAAACGAGUGGACAUGCGAUGGCUGCCCCUAUCCAUAUAAGCACCAUACGAUUCUGGCAUACAAAUUACCAGUAAUGAACGGAGAUGCAAGUAAAAAAGUAGGCGUGGAUGACUGUCCGAUGGAUAUUCGCUUCAAAUGGACCAUCGGUUUAUAUUUGCCGAACCAGUGGCGUUGUACCUCCUUAUUGUAAAGGCUGUACAAUGUCGGCAAUUUUUACUUCAUUUGCAGUCGAUUUCGAUGCGAUAAAGUUUGAACUCAGACAGUUUAACAAACGCAAGUGAAUGACUGCAACAGACAUUUGUGUUAUUAUCACAUCAAAUAAAGUGCCGCGUUUUAUUUAAAAAGUCUAGUUUAUUAGUAGUAUUUGUUUCAUGACCUUAUUGCUUUUUUGGAAAGGUUCUACGUCUAUACAUCAAAAGCAACUGACGCCAAUAAAUUUUUUGACCUUUUGAAUUAAUUGUUUUAGAAAACAAAUUCUUGCUCCCCGAAGGAAAUUUAUUAGAAUUUGCAGUAAACGGUUCCUUAACACCGCACGACACUGACCAUAAACAACAACAUUAAGUGGAGUUCUUUAUUUUAUAUACAGAGACAAAACCGAUAACAUUUAAUGCUUAAAGUGUUAAAUAUUUUUGCUGAAAUAAAUUCUUUUUAUUCCUUUUAUUAUACGCAUGCCAAUAUUGUAAUUAAAAGUCGGUUACAUUUGACGAUGUAAGUAAACCGAUAAAAUAAUUCCAAAUGGAUAAGUAGGUACCAUUAGAGAUGUGCUUAGAAAACGUGUUUGCCAGAGAAUCUAAAUUGGCGUCUCAAGUAACAAUUUAUGUAAUAAAAUGUAACAAAAUUAGAGACAUUAUUGAAGAGCUUUUAGAUAGAUCCGUUUAUGUAUGUAGUAUUUAGAGGGGGAAGGGGAUUUAAAGGGGGGCAAAAUGUCAACGCCCCAUUGCACAAAAAUAUAAACAACUGAAUAUAUCGGAAUUUCGAAAAAAAACUUGAAACCAACAAGUUUUUGUAAAAUACCGCCACGUAAUUGAAUACAUAAAUGGAAUAUGUCGCUGAUAAAAACAGUACGAUUUUGAAUACAAAGGAAUAAUUUUUAAGUGCGGGCUUCAAAGAUGGCAUUGGUGAUUGGUACUGCGUGUAAUUCCCUCAUUCUUCUUCGUCGACAAAAGAAUUGUUCGGACACCGAAGGCAAACCAAAGGGUCAAUUGAAUUGCCAAUUUCUUAUAAUGUUCUCAAAAUUGUAUUCCGUACAUGUACAGAAUUGCUGUUUACAUAAUGCCUUGUAUUGUAUACUUCAGCCAAUGCGUUUAAACUUUAGACGCAAUGAAAAAAUUUCCUGUUGUAAUUUAUAUUGCGUUUUGGAUUUCCAUUACCGAAUUGUAAUUGAUCUCAGAGUCUUUUUUU